rnacentral:rRNA from 1 species
GACGAACGCUGGCGGCGUGCCUAAUACAUGCAAGUCGAACGCAGUGGGGACGGGUGAGUAACACGUGGGUAACCUCCCAUCUGAGGGGAUAAAACUUGGAAACAGGUGCUAAACCGCUACUGAUGGAUGGACCCGCGGUGCAUGAGCUAGUUGGUGAGGUAACGGCGCACCAAGGCCACGAUGCAUAGCCGGCCUGAGAGGGGGAUCGGCCACACUGGAACUGAGACACGGCCCAGACUCCUACGGGAGGCAGCAGUAGGGAAUCUUCGACAAUGGACGAAAGUCUGACCGAGCAACGCCGCGUGAGUGAAGAAGGUUUUCGGAUCGUAAAACUCUGUUGUGAGAGAAGCGGUAUCUAACCAGAAAGCCACGGCUAACUACGUGCCAGCCGCCGCGGUAAUUC